UACGAAGGGGACUAGCGUUGUUCGGAAUUACUGGGCGUAAAGCGCACGUAGGCGGAUAUUUAAGUCAGGGGUGAAAUCCCAGAGCUCAACUCUGGAACUGCCUUUGAUACUGGGGUAUCUUGAGUAUGGAAGAGGUGAGUGGAAUUCCGAGUGUAGAGGUGAAAUUCGUAGAUAUUCGGAGGAACACCAGUGGCGAAGGCGGCUCACUGGUCCAUUACUGACGCUGAGGUGCGAAAGCGUGGGGAGCAAACAGG
rnacentral:rRNA from 1 species